UCCUGGAGGAGCAGACACAAAAGUGAAGAAAGGAUCAACAUGCUUCUCACACACAUCAGCACCGAUGCUGACAAGAAGACACACGAUAAUGAGCAAUGACCAGUUAACACAUAAUGACAAAGUGUCAAAUUCAUUCUCACAAAGUCGGCUGCAUUCACAGAGGCCCCACUGUCACAGAGCAGUUUCACGCUGGAGGAGCAGCCUGCCAUCACUGCAAAGACGAAGCAGAAGGAGCUGCAUCUCAUUCAUUCACAACAACUUAGUUUAGUGAAGUGGCUCUCGUGUUGAGGAGCUGCAGCUGAUUCUAACUGCCUGACAGUGAAUGGAGGAGACGUGGAGUCUUACCAGCAUCAUGCAGAGCAGUGCGUCCCUGUAGGUCCACGUUUCCAACCGGACAGUUGUGCUGUAGAACAAACAGGUUAGGACACAAAUUGUUUUACUGCAUUUGAUGCUCGAUCUGGGAAAGGUUCGUGUCUCGAUUAGUGGAGCCAUGAUGAUUGUGCUGAGGAACCCUUUAACUCCAGUUGACAUCUGAUAGUGUGUAUGUACAAUAGGAUCCUGAGUCUACAAACAUCGGCCCUUUUAAGACCAAUACAAAUACAUCUAUUAGUUCGAAGGAGGAUGGAGUUGCUUUGGUUUCACAGUUACUGAACAGACAUGAAAACCAAAAACGGUUCUGUUCACACCUGCGGGCAGUGAUUCAGUGGCUGAUAUGCUGGUUAAAUCACUACACAGCUGCUUGGAGGUCAGUCAGGGAACCUCUGUGGCGAUGAGGCCUGGAGGAUGUAGGAUGUUGCUGGGUAGGCUUGCCAGCAAAUAAAGCCCAAAAAAAACUCAGCUCUCUCUAGCAACAGGGGCCAGAAAUUAGCAGCACGCUCAAAUGACAAAGCAAAUGAGAGGGGGGAGGUAGAGCAGCGAUGAGCACAGCAGAGAGGGACGAUAUCCUAUAGCCCUGGCUGAGGCUGCCAGAGGGAGGUGUCGGCGUCUCGUAUCUAUGUCUAGUGUGAUGACGGCACAGAGGGCGGAGGAGAAGGCCUGUCAACACCACCAACGACUCUCUGCCAACAGCCAUGACCUCGGGCUGAGCACAGGGGAAGCUCCCUACAGCAGCACACAGCACCGUGGUGGUGGCCCCUCAAACGGUGACGCAACCGGGCCUCAACCGGGCCCUUGUCAACUGACAACGGCCUAAGGAACCAGGUCUGACGCAGCAUUAGUCACACUGCUGACGUCCAAAAACCCUCAUCCGGUCAACACAGGAGGCGGCUGCAGGUCCUGCUUCUUCCUGCCUGCACUCACCAGUGGCAUCAGCCGCUGUGACAUCCACACUGUGUCCCAGGAUCAGACCCAGACAGUCGAGGUGGCCUCGCGUCGCCGCCAAGUGAAACCUGGGAAAUGAAGAGACAGUUUAGGACAGAUGAGGAGAGAUCAGAGCCAGGAGAAGCGCAAGUGAAAGAGAGACGGUGAAACCCGAGGACAGGACCUGCAGACAGAGCCGGCUCCUCGUCACCGGCCACGUCAGCAUUCCUCUAGCAAACAACACAAAGACUCAACACUCUGUUAAAAUGGGCUAAAAGUUUAGACAAAAGUUUGAGUUGAGAGUUGUUACUACAUAAUGAUAAGUUUCCUCUGAUUA